rfam:Triticum aestivum genome assembly, contig: Triticum_aestivum_CS42_TGACv1_scaffold_194024_3AL
AAGGUACUCCCUUCGUCCGAAAAUAUUUGUCAUCAAAAUAGAUAAAAAUAUAUGUAUUUAGAACUAAAAUACGUCUAGAUACAUCUCCUUUUAUCCAUUUUGAUGACAAGUAUUUUUGGACGAAGGGAGUACAAC